GUGUUCAGAGCUCCCAAGGAAAGGGAAUCCUGCCUGUUCCCCCAGACCCUGGACCUCGAGGGGCCACUCCAGCCUGGGCAGCCAGAGUGAACCUGCCUGUGUGAUCAGGACACUCCUGUGUACGCUCAGGGCUGGGGCACCUGCGGUCAGUAGGGGUCCUACGCCUCCCCUCAGACACCUUUGUUCUCAAGCCUUUGUGGCUGGCCCUGGCCUCCCAAGCCAGCCCACCAGCCCUUGUCCUUUGCCUGGCAGGUCUCUCUCCCAGCCAUCCCCCCCUUUCUUGCAUAGCUUUUUACCCAUUCAAGUCUCAGAUCAGAACCUGGCAUGGGACGGGGUGGGACCCCUUCACUCACUGCAGCCCUUCCUCCCGCAAUGCUCCCUCUUCUGCCCACAUCCCCUUACUAGCCCCACUCCCCUCACCCUGCUCUUGCUCCCCGCCCCUCUCUCCUCUCGGCCUGGCCCCCUCCCCAUUUCCUCUCCCCUCCUUUCUUGGCCCUCCAGUUCGGGGAGUCGGGCUUUCUCUCGGCAGGGGCAGUGGCGGCUCGUUGUCCUCCCCUCUCUCCUCACCCUCUCCCUUCUCUCUUCCCCCCUCCAGCCUCCACUCCUCACUCCUCGCCUGCUCACUCACCCUCUCCCUCUCCCGCUGCCCCCCCUCUUUCUCCCCCACCUCUUUGUUUCAGCUGAGAACCGGCUCCUCGGGACAGUUCCCACACUGCAGUGCCUCUGGUGAGGAGACAGCGCCACUGAGAGCAUCAGAAAGCCUGAAGUGUCUGGCAAACAAGUUAUCAGCCCUCCACCACUAUGGAGGAGUCCAUGACUUCAUACAUGAUAGGGAUGGUCUCUCCCACAGAACUACACUUUUCAAGUUCCAGGGCUUGGAGCUAAAUGCAUCUUUGCAUCUAAAACAUACAAUGCUCAGCUGCAGGUGAACUUUUGUCUAUCUCACAGAGGAGCAAAGCCUAGAAGAUCCCUAAUAGAACCCAGGACAAAGGAAUGCUCAAAGCCAAAGUUGCCAGAUAAAAUGCAGGACAUUUGGUGAAACUUCUACUUCGGAUAAGUAAUUUUUUAGCAUAAAUAUGAUCAGUACAUUUGGGAUUAUUUGUAACUAAAAAUUACGUUGUGGCGAGUUUAAAUUUAAUUGGACGACUUUCAUUUUCAGUUGCCAAAUCCCCAACUCUAUUUAAGACACUACACCUCUCUAGCUCCUGUGCAUUCCGGUUGCUAAGUGAGGAAAUGCGAAGACCAGCCUUGGCUCCUCCCGGAACAAAGUGGAGCUGACCUCACAUCCGGAUUUGGCCAGUCGCCAGGUGACCGGAAGUGACGUCGCCCGAGGCUAAUGGCCUGUAAUCUUCGCGAGAGAAAUUAUGCUGCACGAUACUAGGUGUCGCAGGAAGUAAGGGGCUGCUGUCGCCUGGAUUCGCCUCCGUCUGGGCCAGGAAUGAUUUCCAAGGUCCAUGUACGUCCUUGAGAUGCAAACUUACCUUUCUGCCGCUUCCAGCACUGGAAACCGGAAGUGCUCUGGUGGGUGGGGAUUAAUCCGGAAAUGGCUGGUCUGGGGCUUCCCUAGAGAACAGGAUCGUGGGUUAAAACUUGCGUGCCUCGCUGACCUCCAGAAAAACUGAAAAGAGGUGUAUGGAGUCCUCCGGUUUCUACAUUCCUGCAGUGGAUUCUCAGUGAUUUGUAAUGAUCCUUCCCUCUUCAUCCUGUUAGAUAUAGUCAGUCAUUAAAUACACCCCGAAUUCCUGUUAGGUGCCAGACUCCAGGCUGAACCAUCAGAUUUAGGGUCAUCCUUGCUCCUCCGCAUAGUUACAAUUCUUUGACAAUUCAUUGAUGUUUACCACUCUUCUCCAUGAGCCACCAUAUACAGCUAAUUCAGUGAAGUAUUUCUGUUCCAUGAUCUUUGAACACAAGGGCAAACUGCCUGUAAACAAAAAUGACCCUGAGCCUUCUUCCUCCCUACCCUUGCCCUCACCUUGUGUCCACUAUGACCCAAGCGUGAUGCCUUCCCACAUUCAAAAAUCAACUAUUGGCUGGACUCCAAAAACACCAGAGUACACUUUUUUUUUACUGAUGGAAAGGAUUUCUUCAAACAUGUUUCCUUAAAAAGUUUGGUUUUUGCCCUGUUGCUCACCACACACACACACAGGGACAAACUGUGUAGCCUAGGCUGUCUUCCUUCAAGUUCAUGAUCCCCUUGCCUCUGCCUCCUGAGUAACUAAAAUCGCGGCAUGUACUACUGUGUAAUUGAGAAGCUUAAUCACCCACCCACCUGACAUUCUAAAUUUCCUUGCUUCUUGACACUUAGACUACUCAGCAACGUCUCUUUUCCUUUUGCAACUCUUUAAGACAUUGCUGUUCCAUGUCAGUCUGGUCCACCCAGCGGGAAGAAGAAAGAAGAAGAAAGGAGGAAGGGAGAGGGAAGGAAGGGAGGGAAGGAGGGAGGGGGCUGGGGAGGUGGGGAGCUGGAGAGAUGGCUCAACAGUUAAGAGCACUGACUGCUCUCCAGAGGACCUGGGUUCAAUUCCCAGCACCCACAUGGCAGCUCAGAACUGCCUGUAAUUCAGGUUCCAAGGGACAUGGCACCCUCACACAGACAUACAUGCAAGCAAAAACACAAUGCCCAUAAAAAUAAAUCUUAAAAAGAAGAAAGGAGGGGGGUAAAAGGAAAUUCCAGGUUCUGUUUGUACGCAGGGCAAUAGAAAUAUAAGAAUUAAGUCAACUCAAUACCAUUCAGGAGUUUACAGUCCAAUGGGUUUAAUCUUCUUGCUGUUAAAAGCAUCUUGUGAAUAGUUUGGGGAUGGCAAUGGAAUAUUAAAAAAUGGCUACAGGAAAAUGGGUACAGGGAGCUGGAAAGAUGGUUCUGUGGUUAAGAGCACCUGUUGCUCUUGUAAAGGUCUUGGGCUCUGUUCCUAGCACCCAAAGGGUUUACAGCUAUCCAGAGCUCCGGUUCCAGGGAAGCUGAUGCCAUCUUCUGACCUCCUCAGCCACCAGGCAUUCAUGUGGUACACAUACAUACAUGAGGCAAAGCAUUUAUACACAUAAAGAAAUCUUUUUAAUUUUUAUUUUAUGUAUGAGUGUUCUGCAUAUAUACCUGCACUCCAGCAGAGGGCAUCAGAUCCUAUAGAUGGUCAUAAGCCACCAUGUGGUUGCUGGGAAUUGAACUCAGGACUUCUGAAAAAGCAGCCAGUGCUCUUAACCCCUAAGCCAUCUCUCCAGCCCAAGAAAUCUUUUUUAAGAAAAUGAAGACAGGGCUGGUAAUGUAGCUCAACUGAUAGAGAGCUUGUUUAGCAUGCACAAGCCUUGGGUCUGGUCCCCAGCAUCAUAUAAAACAGUGUUUAUGGUACAUGCCUAAAUCUCAACAUUUAGAAAUCAGGCUCUCAAAGUCAUCCUUGUCUAUGUAGUUUAAAGUCAAUCUAGGAUACACGAGACCUUGUCUCAAAAAAAAAAAAAAAGGAAGAAAGAAAGAAAGAAAGAAAGAAAAGUUGGGGGACUGAAGAGAUAGCUCAGCUGUUUAGAGCACUUGAUAUUCUUCCAAAGGAUGGGGUUUGAUUCCCAGCAUUCACAUGGCAGCUUACAACCAUUUGUAACUCUAGUUCCAAGGGACCCAGUGCCUUCUUCUGGCCUCUGAGGGUACCAGGUACACACACAAUACACUUACAUACAUGCAGACCACACACACACACACACACACACACACACACACACACACACACACACACAAAAUUAGAAAAUAAUUAAUUAAAACAAUAAAUGAAUAGUAUCUGAGGAGUAACACCCAAGGUUGUCUUUUGUCCUCACACACAUGCACACAUACAAAAUAAGCUAUCUGCAGGUCUGAUGUCUGACCAUGGCUUUAUUUCUGUUUCUAAAAUGGCAGUUUAUCACUGUAUCCUCGGGAGGAGAUAAAAUAGGGCUUCACAUGGUAGAGAGUUGAAGGGUCUCUUAGAAGAGGCCUUGACCUCCUUUACAAUGGAUUUAUUCUCAGGAUCUAACCGUCUCCCAGAAUCCCCACUUUUUGGUGGUUAUUUUUUUUUGGGGGGGGGGUGUUUUUUUGUUUUGUUUUGAGAAAGGGCCUCAUUUUGUAGUUCUGGUUGUCCUAGAACUCACUAUGUAGAACAGACUCAUGGAGCUCUGCCUGCCUCUGUCUCUGGAAUGCUGGGAUUAAAGGUUUGCACCACCUCA